rnacentral:lncRNA from 1 species
UAUAAAUAAAGAUAAAUAUUCAAACUAACUGCUCCUUAUUAUACUGCAAUGGCAUCAAAUUGACUAAAUAAAAACUCAGCGCUCCUUGCAGUGGGAAUCAACACAUCAGUUUAUUUAGACAUACACAAACGUUUUCGAUGCAUGUAGCAUCCUCAUCAGGUGUAAAAUACAUACAAAGAAUAAACCGAAAAGAACAUAAGGGAAAUAUUAAAAAUGCGACAUUGAUAACAGCACUAGCGGAAAGAGCAGUAAGCAAAGAUUUGGUAAUUAAAUGGGGAGACACCAAGCUUUUAAAAAAACAAGAAGAACCCAAGAAAGGAAAGAUAGCUGAAACAAUUGCGAUAUAUAAUAGUAGAAAUUCCGCCCAGAAGCCCAUGAAUAAAAUAGAUCCGACAUUAAUUAAUAAUGCCUGGAAAUCAUGCAUGUG